AGAGUUUGAUCAUGGCUCAGGAUGAACGCUAGCUACAGGCUUAACACAUGCAAGUCGAGGGGAAACGACAUCGAAAGCUUGCUUUUGAUGGGCGUCGACCGGCGCACGGGUGAGUAACGCGUAUCCAACCUGCCCACCACUUGGGGAUAACCUUGCGAAAGUAAGACUAAUACCCAAUGACGUCUCUAGAAGACAUCUGAAAGAGAUUAAAGAUUUAUCGGUGAUGGAUGGGGAUGCGUCUGAUUAGCUUGUUGGCGGGGUAACGGCCACCAAGGCGACGAUCAGUAGGGGUUCUGAGAGGAAGGUCCCCCACAUUGGAACUGAGACACGGUCCAAACUCAGUACGGAGCC
rnacentral:rRNA from 1 species